GGAGAAGUGAAACACAUGGACAGCGCCGCCGGGACAGCGACCUCCCCGUCCCCUCCACCCUCCGCUAUAAACCCUCCCCCCCUUGCCGCCUCCAUCUCCACCACCGCUCCUGCUCCCAAGCUUCAUUUUUUUUGCGAUUCACCUGCUCCCAGCUCCCGCUGCUCCGGUGCAAUAGUGAUUCUUUGCCCGUGUGAGCAGCGCUGCUAUCAGGGGUGGGAAGCAGAGCGGCUGUUUAGAGAAAUGGAGUGCAGCGGCGACGAGGUGGUGGAGCUGAGCUGUGCCCGCGCCGGCGGCGGCGGCGGCGGUGGAGAUCCCGGGGAGUACGCCGCGGUGCUGAAGAGGAAGCUGCAACUGUACUGCGCCGCCGUGGCCAAGACCAUGGAAGCUAAACCUAUAGAAUCUUCUUUGAGUGGCCUCAACUCACAAGCUUCGGACACUUCGCCAUUGGUUUCUCAAGCUUCUUUUGAUGGUGAUGGUACUGUUGUUCAAGGAAAGCCAGCUAAUAGUUGUACAUCAAAGGAGCAGUCAGAUGAUGACGGGGAUCUUGAGGAAAAUACAGACCCUGCCAAUGCCAAGCGCGUGAAGAGGAUGCUGUCAAAUCGAGAAUCUGCCAGGAGGUCAAGGAAAAGGAAGCAAGCCCACCAAAGUGAUAUAGAAUCACAGGUUACCCAGUUAAGAGCUGAGAAUGCAUCUUUGCUAAACCGCCUGACUGACAUGACUCAGAAAUACAAGGAAGCUUCCCUUGGCAACAGGAAUCUUACAGUUGAUAUUGAGACUAUGAGGAGAAAGGUGAAUAUAGCUGAAGAAGCUGUCAGGAGAGUAACUGGAGCAAGCUUGAUGUUCUCCACUACAUCAAACAACGUGCCCACGGCUUCAUGUGUGUCUGUUGCAGCUUCUGCUGAUGCUGCUCCCACUGAGGAAAGCAUGAGCCAUUUCCUCCAGGGUUUACUUGAAGAUGAUCUGAUCAAACAUGACCUCUCAGAGGUAGCAACCCCUUUGCCCAGUGGGGAAGAGAUGGACUCAAGGCCAGCCUCUCUUCGACGCGUCGCGAGCCUGGAGAACCUGCAGAAGAGGAUCCAUAGAGAUUCAGUGCACUCCGAGGACACAUCGAUUUUUUCGGACGAUGAAGUCCCUGCCAAAGCCCAGUAACUGGAUUGUACAAUGCUCCAGUGGGCUAAGUUUUGUCGUAAAAUAUGGAGGCUGUGGCGUCCGUGUAUAUCUGGAUGCUGAACUUUGUGUAUACUAUUUUGAAGACAGGUGCAGUCAAAUACUGAUUUCCUUUUCACCGCUUUACGGGCGCGAGGUUACGAUGGAUGGCCAACUUAGUUCACACAAAAAGUAAGCAUCUUGUAUGUAUGUAUGUGUGAGUGUCCUGGUUCUGGAACCAAUGACGAGGUGAGCUGAAUUUCCGAGCUACCUCGUUUGUCACUACUGGUUGUUGCAUUCCCUGAUGUCCAGGUCAGGUCACAUUAGUUUUGCACAAAGAAGUGGCAAUUUGCAUCUCCUGAGAGUAACAACUUCGGCAAUUUGCAGGAUGCAACACCAUUUUUUAAGAUGUAAAGUGGUUCCCCUGCCCCAUUGAGCAUAGCAAAGCAACCUAGUGUCCGAUACAAAAGCGUAGGAAAGCAGAGUGCUUCCUAGAGAAGUAGUAACAAGCAAGCUAGCCUUGGAACGAACAACUAAGAAAUUUCAGCGGGUUAUACUUCAUUCAGGGGAGCUGGUGAUCAGGUGAUCUGCACUCUGACAUGACUAGUGACACCAAAUAUGGUUAUCUUUUCUUCGUGGGCGAAUUAUCUCUGCCAUUGUUGCAUCACACGAUGUAGAGACCGGGAAGAUAAUCUUUCCAUUAUGUCAAAAAAGAAAGAAAGAAAAGAAAACCCUGAGAUUAAUUGUC